rfam:Triticum aestivum genome assembly, contig: Triticum_aestivum_CS42_TGACv1_scaffold_641589_T_7DS-0.190083_1DS-0.180360
GAUAUACUCCCUCCGUCCCGAAUUACUUAUGGCAGAAUUGGAUAGAAAUGGAUGUCUAGAACUAAAAAUACUUCUAGAUACAUCCAUUUCUGCGACAAGUAAUUCGGGACGGAGGGAGUACAUG